UAACUCAGUUGGUAGAGUGCUUGCCUCACAGGCACAAGGCCCUGGGUUCAAUUCCCAG
rnacentral:tRNA from 1 species